AUUACAACGUCAAAAUGAUUGCAACACUAUUGCUGUGAUUGUGACUUCACAACAAAAAGCACAGACUAAGUAAAUAUACCACUUUAUGGUUAAAGGAAUUCCUGCCUCAGGCUCAUCCAUUCUUGACACGUGACCACCUGUUCACCUUCACGGUCAGUCAUCCUAUCUUUCCAGCUACCCAUACAGAUUCCACUAAUCUUUCAUAGCCAACCCGAAAACUGCUUUCUGCUACUAAGAUCAGUGAAAUGUAGGCUAAACUGACAACGGAGUGAAGAGCAGAAAUCUCAACUAGCAAGCAAGUCGCAGCAAUGAAGAACGGGGGGGAUUCUCAACACCGGUACCGAGUCAAUGUGCGGGGGUACAGCCGGUACCGAGUCAAUGUGCAGGGGUACAGCCAUUGGCCAGUUUCUGGAUUGUGUGGUCCUGAUGCUGUGAUUUGUGUAUGUAGUUUCCGCUAUGGAACGCCGUUUGGGUCUUAAAGCACGUGGUCAAAACGCAAAAUGUUUAAUGCUACGUGUGUAAAGUAAACAGGUGCAGGCGCUAGAUUAACACGUGCACGCGUUAAAUUAACGUCUUCACGCGCUAAAUUAACGCCUAUAUGAGUCAAAUAAGCGGUGCAAAUGUGCUAAAUAAACGGCUGCAAGCGUCCUGCAUAAGUCAAAUUAAUGCCUACAGCUGCUAAAAAUACACCUACACAUGCUAAUUUAACACGUUCUUUAAUAUGCUAAUUUUACCAGCCAAUUUCCCUAGCUCCUCCUUUCAUUAAAUCGGUGUACAGUCAGUUUGAUGCAACAACACCACAAUUGAAGAUGGCGAGAAGGAACUUGCAUAUCCGCUGCAAACAGGCCCUAAAUGGAUGCACUCACCUUCUGCUCUCCAAUAAUCCUGGACUUGAUGCCCUUCAGUCCACGUUAACAAGCCAAUUCCAGUUACGGGGCUCCUCGGACUUGGAGAGGAGCUAGAGGUGUGCCUUGUUAUGCCAUCACUCAAGAGCAACUGAGGUUUCUGAUAUCCUGUGCUUUCAGUGUGUCUCAGAUGGCAGAUAUUCUACAUGUGUCCCGAUCGACAGUCAACUGUCGUCUAAGACACUUUAAUCUGUCACCGUUAUAUUCUGACAUGUCAGACUUGGCUCUGGAUGAAAAGCUGAAGGACUUGGAGGCUGGGAACGACAAACGUGGACCGGAGGCUGUUAUAUCACAAUUAAGGGCUCUGGGUGCAGACACAGAGUGAAGGACAGCAUGCUUUGUGUUAACCUGAGGGCGGCUGCCCUCCGAGCCAUGUCGCAGAGGCUGCAUAGGUCAUGCCGUGUUGCUGGACCAAACUCGUUAUGGCACCUUGAUGGACACCACAAACUGAUAAGGUGGAGGAUCGUCAUACAUGGUGGCAUUGAUGGGUACAGCCAUCUCGUUGUUUCUCCGUGCUUCCAGCAACAAUAGCAGCAGUACUGUAAUGGAUUGCUUCAUGAAUGCUGUCUCCAGAUAUGGUGUUCCCUCCAGAUGUUGAUGUUUGUGAUGAGAAUGAUGUUGACCUCCAAACACUGCAGAAGUUAAUGAGAUGCCAACCAAAUUAACGUGAUGAGGGACAGCGUUUAUGAUUGUGCGAGGCUUUAAGAGCCCGCUUCAAUCCUGAGGCAAAAAUAGACAUGGUUUUUAGGGAUGCUGACGGAAAAGGAGCAGCUGAUGAGAGUGGUCCCUCAAGAAUUUCUCUGGCUGCUAAUGAGUGCCAUCCAUUCCUCUGCAAUAUUUGAGGGACCUGAUUGGCAAAAAAUGCCUUUCUUGCAACUCUCAAGAUGAGUUACACUUUUACACCAACAAAAACACAUUUGUUAAUGCAAUAAUAUGACUUGAGUAAUAUUUGAUUUUUGUAUAAUGUGUCCUUUAUUUACAGUUUGUCUUCUGUGUGACAGUACUCUAUGAUGGCAUAUAAAAGCAGGUGGGUCGCAUGAUUGCUGUCUGGUACAUGCGGGUGUAGAGCCACAUUGAGGCAAUACAGGCAAGUGUGUGGCCUACAACCUCCUGUGCCAGAACUGAAAGAAAUUGUGGAAUAUGACUUCAGAGAGAAGUUGAAGGUAAGUGACUUUAUACUGUGAUGGAUGUUACGUUACUGUUAAUUUGCACUAAGUUUGGGAAAAAAUUGGGUUGUAUUUCAUGAAUACUUUUCCACGUGGAUUUGGUUUCCUUUUGUUGGCAGUCGAUCAUUUUUAAGGGUAGUGAUAAUCAGUUUAUUGUUUUGCUAAUUUGUCCCAAAACACAGUUCCAUAAACAAUGUACGAUCCAGUUAGCACAAACUGUUGACGAGGCACAGGAAGUGGUCAUGCUGGGUCCAGUGCGAUACAUUCGUACAUAGGAGAGGGAUGCCCUAGUGGAGUCAGCCACAAACUUCUACUUAGAAAGCAGGAUAUGGGAUGCUCUUGAGUAAUUCAGAGUGUCUAGGUCUCCUGCCUUGCAUGAAUAGACACUCAAGCCUCUUCAGAGAGGUUUUCAUCUACGCUGAGAAACCUCUUUUGGCCAAAGACAUAGCUUCUCUCUUUUAAAGCAGAGCGCUCCCCACCUGGUACCAAUCAAAGAGCAAUAGAGAGAAGAGUCAUAUGUUUCUGGAGGGACUGGCUUCUGGAGGUGGAAGGGGGAACACAUACCCUUUAACCAUGACGGUUUUCAUUUGCACUUAGGGGGCUUCAGCAUUCCUAGGCUGGGAUUGCCAGUGGAGCCACAGCUAUAGUUCUCGCUACUACCGCACGGCAAGCGGUACCGGAGCACCAAGUCUAGGUCCAAGAGGCUUCUGAACAGAUUCUUACUCCAAGCCGUAAGACUACUGAACAUCUAAUCAAAUGGCUACCCAGACUAUUUGCUGAUACUAUCUAUGCAUAAUCACUUUCAUAUCUCUACCUACAUGUAUAUAUUAACUUGACUAACAAGUGCCUGCACAUUCUCUGUACCGGUAUCCCCUGUAUAGAGCCUUGCUAUUGUUAUUUUACUGAUGCUCUUUAAUAAUAUAUAUUUUUUUAACUGCAUUGUUGGUUAAGGGCUUGUAAAAGUAAGCAUUUCCCUGUUGUAUUUGGCACGUGACAAAUACAAUUUGAUUUGAAUAAUUAAUUUAAGGGGAAUUAUCCAAAACGUUUAUUGCAUGACUACCUAGUAAGUUCGGAAUACUGCAGCCACUGCCUGUUCACCCCGCUAUCAUACAAAAUAAUUCAUAUCAGCAAAAAAAGUUGUGUAGUGAAAGCUUUCAAAAACAUUCCAGAAUCAAGAAUGACUCAAUUGGACACAGUAAUACAUAAUGCAACUUUAAUAAAUGUAUGAUUUGUGGGUAAACUGAGCAUUAUGCAAAGUAGUUAAGUCAUGUAUGUCAAGGGACUGUUACCAUAAAUCUUACUGUAAAUAUGGAUGUUUAAUUUACACGUGUAAUGGCAAUAAAAGACACUGUAGUUGGUUCAUAGGUCGUGGUGCAACAAGUUUGAGGGUAGUGGAGAAGCAUGGGAUUUGAGUGAAGUAACUGAGGACUGAAAAGGGUAUCGGGGUGCCCAGGAACUUGAAGCUGCUGAUCAUCUCCAUGCCAAUGUACAGUAGAAGGGUGAAGUAUCACCAUCUACUUUGUUUUGUUUACGCUGAGACUGUUGUCCUAUUCCAUUAUGUCAGGUUCCACAGCUCCUUCAUGUACUCAUGUGUACCAUGGUAGUGUCGGGUCCAUUCUGGGGAUACACAUUCUUAUGAUAAUGUAAAAAAUCUAAUUUGUUAUUACAGGAUUUACACCCAGAGCCCUGAGUCUGCUAACCAGUUUGUGGGCCAGGAUGGCGUUGAAAGCAGAGCUAUAAAAUGCACUCUGACUUAUGUAAAAAUGUAUAAUUGACAUUUGGUGGGACAAUGGGCAUACUGGAGUUGUACAUUGUGCUACACUAUCUAUUGUUCCAGCUUUUUUUAAACGAUAUCGACUGGGCUGCAGUGGAGCUGGUUAAAAAGCUUCGAUGUCAUGGGGACCUAAUGUCGUUGACUGGUACAGACACUGCAGUCAAAUGCCAACCAGCCGGCUCUCCCGUCUUAUGGUGGCUGAAGACGUUUUGCCCGACGUCAAACAUUAACAAGAGUGUCAGAUUGAAAUGUCUGUAAAAAAAUGUAAACAGAACCAUAAGAGCAGAUUACUUUGUCAUCCUUACUGGCACAGUUUAAAAAUGUCUAAUUGUAGUCACUUUCAAUUGAUUCAUUGACUCCAAAAACCAUAGAUUGUUUGUAAUUCAUAACAUUAACACAACUGACAAACGUUGCGUGACUAAAUUAGGAUACAUGUUUUAAUAACAUUAUGUGAUUGGGCUUAAUGUUGCAUACCUUAUGUUGUGCAUGCAUGCCAACCAGGUGAGAAUCACCAGAAUUAAUUGAUACUUGAUGAAUCAGGUCUUCUCUGCUGCUUUAUCAGCCUCCCCCUUGCCCGCUCCACUUCGUGGUUCCCUUCUGCAAGACACAAUUGUGUGAAAAUAAAGCGGAAGGAAAGGGAACCCUAUUCCUUUUGAACCAGUA